rnacentral:rRNA from 1 species
UACGGAGGAUCCAAGCGUUAUCCGGAAUUACUGGGCGUAAAGAGUUGCGUAGGCGGCCGUGUAAGUUGGUAGUGAAAGCGUGGGGCUCAACCUCAUAUCCAUUAUCAAAACUGCACUGGCUAGAGCAUGAGAGAGGUAGCUGGAAUUCCCUGUGUAGGAGUGAAAUCCGUAGAUAUAGGGAGGAACACCGAUGGCGUAGGCAGGCUACUGGCUCAUUGCUGACGCUCAGGCACGAAAGCGUGGGGAGCGACCGGG